GACGUAGGGAGCAAGCGUUGUCCGGAUUUACUGGGCGUAAAGGGCGCGUAGGCGGUCUGUUAAGUGUGAAGUGAAAUCUCCAGGGCUCAACCCGGAAACUGCUUCGCAUACUGGCAGACUGGAGGAAGGCAGAGGUGAAUAGAAUUCCCGGUGUAGCGGUGACAUGCAUUGAUAUCGGGAGGAAUACCAAUGGCGAAGGCAGUUCACUGGGCCUCUCCUGACGCUGAGGCGCGAAAGCGUGGGUAGCAAACAGG
rnacentral:rRNA from 2 species